UACGUAGGGCGCAAGCGUUAUCCGGAAUUAUUGGGCGUAAAGAGCUCGUAGGCGGUUUGUCGCGUCUGCCGUGAAAGUCCGGGGCUCAACUCCGGAUCUGCGGUGGGUACGGGCAGACUAGAGUGAUGUAGGGGAGAGUGGAAUUCCUGGUGUAGCGGUGAAAUGCGCAGAUAUCAGGAAGAACACCAAUGGCGAAAGCAGCUCUCUGGGACGGUACUGACGCUGAGACGCGAAAGCGUGGGGAGCGAACAGG
rnacentral:rRNA from 1 species